rnacentral:rRNA from 2 species
UUAAGCAUAUCAAUAAGCGGAGGAAAAGAAACCAACAGGGAUUGCCCUAGUAACGGCGAGUGAAGCGGCAAAAGCUCAAAUUUGAAAUCUGGCUUCGGCCCGAGUUGUAAUUUGUAGAGGAUGUUUCGGGCACCGCCCCGGCGUAAGUCCCUUGGAACAGGGCGUCAUAGAGGGUGAGAAUCCCGUCUGGCGUCGUGGUAGGGCCCAUGUGAAACUCCUUCGACGAGUCGAGUUGUUUGGGAAUGCAGCUCAAAAUGGGUGGUAAAUUUCAUCUAAAGCUAAAUACUGGCCAGAGACCGAUAGCGCACAAGUAGAGUGAUCGAAAGAUGAAAAGCACUUUGAAAAGAGAGUUAAACAGUAUGUGAAAUUGUUGAAAGGGAAGCGCUUACAACCAGACUUGAGCCCGUCGGUUCCCCCUCGCUUCUGCGUGGGCUACUCCGGCGGGUCCAGGCCAACAUCGGUUCGGGUGGCUGGUCAAAGGCCCCGGGAAUGUACCUCACCUUCGGGUUAGGCUUAUAGCCCGGGGUGUCAUGCGGCCUACCUGGACCGAGGAACGCGCUUCGGCUCGGAUGUUGGCGUAAUGGUUGUCAGCGACCCGACUUGAAACACGGACCAAGGAGUCGAAGAGCUAUGCGAGUGUUUGGGUGUCAAACCCGUACGCGUAAUGAAAGUGAACGGAGGUAGGAAGCUUCGGCUGCACUAUCGACCGAUCCUGAUGUUCUCGGAUGGAUUUGAGUAAGAGCAUAACUCUCCGGACCCGAAAGAUGGUGAACUAUGCCUGAAUAGGGUGAAGCCAGAGGAAACUCUGGUGGAGGCUCGCAGCGGUUCUGACGUGCAAAUCGAUCGUCAAAUUUGGGUAUAGGGGCGAAAGACUAAUCGAACCAUCUGGUAGCUGGUUCCUGCCGAAGUUUCCCUCAGGAUAGCAGUAACGUUUUCAGUUUUAUGAGGUAAAGCGAAUGAUUAGAGGCCUUGGGGUUGAAACAACCUUAACCUAUUCUCAAACUUUAAAUAUGUAAGAAGUCCUUGUUACUUAGUUGAACGUGGACAUUUGAAUGUAUCGUUACUAGUGGGCCAUUUUUGGUAAGCAGAACUGGCGAUGCGGGAUGAACCGAACGUGAGGUUAAGGUGCCGGACUGCACGCUCAUCAGACACCACAAAAGGUGUCAAUGCAUCUAGACAGCCGGACGGUGGCCAUGGAAGUCGGAAUCCGCUUAGGAGUGUGUAACAACUCACCGGCCGAAUGCAUUGGCCCUGAAAAUGGAUGGCGCUUAAGCGUGCGACCUAUACCUCGCCGUCAGGGUUGACAUGAUGCCCUGACGAGUAGGCAGGC